CAGCAUCUACUGAUAGACCUGAGGCCAUCACUCAUGUCCUCUUAGGUUUGCACAAGGAUGCAACAUCAACGCUCCUUGCGCUUUCUGGCUGUCGAGUGGCAGUCUGGAUUGAAUUUAGGAGAACAGAU